UUUGUAAACAUUAAUUAAUAUGUAAACUAUACUGUUUACAACUUACCCAACAGGAAUCCGGGUUCAUUGUGACAAGGGGUACAACUUGUGGCCUUACUAUGAACAAUUGCCCUACACAU